AGACGUCUACAUUAGAUACCCGUGUAGUCCCAGCCGUAAACUAUGCGCGUUAGGUGUAUCGGUGACCACGAGUUACCGAGGUGCCGAAGGGAAACCGUGAAACGUGCCGCCUGGGAAGUACGGUCGCAAGGCUGAAACUUAAAGGAAUUGGCGGGGGAGCACCGCAACGGGAGGAGCGUGCGGUUUAAUUGGAUUCAACACCGUAAAACUCACCAGGGAAGACUGUUACAUGAAAGCCGAGAUGAAGACUCUGCUAGAUUUUCAG
rnacentral:rRNA from 1 species